CCUACGGGAGGCAGCAGUGGGGAAUUUUGGACAAUGGGGGCAACCCUGAUCCAGCAAUGCCGCGUGAGUGAAGAAGGCCUUCGGGUUGUAAAGCUCUUUUGUCAGGGAAGAAACAGCAGCUCUAACACAGUCUGCGAAUGACGGUACCUGAAGAAUAAGCACCGGCUAACUACGUGCCAGCAGCCGCGGUAAUACGUAGGGUGCGAGCGUUAAUCGGAAUUACUGGGCGUAAAGCGUGCGCAGGCGGUUAUACAAGACAGGCGUGAAAUCCCCGGGCUUAACCUGGGAAUGGCGUCUGUGACUGUAUAGCUAGAGUGUGUCAGAGGGGGGUGAAAUUCCACGUGUAGCAGUGAAAUGCGUAGAUAUGUGGAGGAACACCAAUGGCGAAGGCAGCCCCCUGGGAUAACACUGACGCUCAUGCACGAAAGCGUGGGGAGCAAACAGGAUUAGAUACCCUGGUAGUCCACGCCCUAAACGAUGCUGACUAGUUGUUGGGAAUUUACAUUCUCAGUAACGUAGCUAACGCGUGAAGUCAGCCGCCUGGGGAGUACGGUCGCAAGAUUAAAACUCAAAGGAAUUGACGG
rnacentral:rRNA from 1 species